ACCAUUUAAAAAUACAUAAAUAUGUUAAUUUUCAAAUUUACAUUGAAAGAGUAUCGAGACCUUAAUAUUUUAAUUUUGACAUUUGCUUCGAAAAAUAUCACAUCGAAUUUUUUUGGAUUAAUGGUUUAAAUUUUUUGUUACAUCAAAUAUACAAAUGUUAAUAAAACCAUAUGAGUAAGAAGUCUCAAUAAUAAAUAUUUAUAUUAAAAUAUAUUAUAUAUUAAUGUCAAUAUCAUUGAAAUAUAAUUAUAUACUAUAUAAAAUAAUUAAAAUGAUUAUUUUGAUUUGUUUACCGUAAAUAUAUUGUAAAAAACAAGAGGUAUUAUGUUGAUUUAUGUUAUUACUCUAAUCUCUUAUAUCUUAAUUGAGAAGUGUAAGAUUUUAUUAAUUAGUAAUGUUCAAAAAUCUUACAAGAGAUCGAUACAACUAAGAUUUAUUUAGAAGCUAUUGAAAUCACCUAGCGAAAACAUGGAUUGAAUAACAAAUUCACUUUCCUAACCUAACCCACUUUCUAUUCGUCACAACACCGGCAGAGAAUAUUUGGAAGUAUCGAUUGACAAGCUGAAGUGGUUACUUUUUUAAGUUCAGCCCACUGUUUUCUUUAAAUGAGCCUAAAAUAGUUUUUAAUGAUUAACUAAAUGGACCACAUACAUAGCAAAAUUUAUUUUGAUUUAAAAGUUAUUGCAUACCCAAAAUCAAUAUGAACCAUCAUCAUUUUCGUUUAAAAUUUUGUCACAAUUAAAAUAUAGGGUUGAGCAAAAAAUUCGAAUAAAAAAAACAAAACCAAUCCAAAAAAUAGUAAUGAACUUUAACCAAAAUUGGUUAGGUAUCCGAAUGAGUUCAAAAUUUUUGUAUCUAGAAAACCGGAACCGAACCGAAAUAUUUCGGGUAUCCGAAUAUAUCCGAACCAGAUUUAUGUACUUAAAUAUAUUAAUUAUUUUUAAGUUUAAUAUGUAAAAGAAUAUACAAAAUAUAUAAGGUGUUUUUAAACUGUCCAAAAUACUUGGAAAUAUAUAAAAAUAGUUAUAAGUACAUGUUUAAAAUAGCUAAACCAAAUUUUACGUUAAGUUUAAGUAUUUUGGCAUACAUUAUUCAAAUUUAUAUGUUAUAAUAUUAUUUUUAUUUUUAUAUUUUAAAAAAUUUAAAGUAUAUAUGAACUUUAAUUUUUGAAAAAAAUUUAAAUAGGUUAUCCGAACCGAACCAAAUCCGCAAAGAUCCAAACCGAACCAAAUCCGCAUGGAUCCAAACUUAACCGAACUAAAUGGUACUCGAAUGUCCACCUCUAAUCAAAUGUAAAAUUGAUUUCAAAAAUAUAUAUUUAUCUAUCAAUCUAUUAUUACAAAACUUUCUUCUUGUCUUAUACUGCCACAUUAGUAAUUUGUUAAACCAGAGACAUGUGUCCAAUCCUCUAUACUCACCGUUUCAUUUAUUUUUUUCCCCAAAUGUGUUGGGCUUGGAUUCCUAUUUUGUCUGAGCGUACUGCUUUAUUAAGCCUGUACUGAUAGAAAGCGUAAUAUGGUGUGCUCGAAACGCGGCGUUUCUUAUUUUGUAGUUUCAUCGCAGCCGUAGGGGAUUCGAUCGAUUCUUCCUACCGAUCCAGCAAUCCAUCGGUUACGGAUUCAUUCCACAAACCCUUAACUGUUUAGACCCACUAAAACCAGGAUCACUCAUUCAAUCAUUCUUAUCCAAUCUUCCAAACUGUAGAUAAAGGUAAGGAUUCCUCUCUUGAGAAUCCUCACAGUUCCUAGCAAUUGAAUUUCUGUUUCCAUAGCGGCAGCUUCAGCCAUUAGUACUUAGUAGCGACGGAAGGAAAUCAGUUGGUGGGGGAGUUGGUUUCUGUAACCCCUUGUCAAUUGAACUCUUAAAUGAGACAAUGCCAGCCUUUACACCAAAGUCUGUUUUUGAUCAUUUGAGGAACAAUCGUGUGUGCUAUGACCGUGUAAAUGGCAAAGUGCGUAACACAUAAAUUACAUUUUAAAAGUUGACCACAAGUUUGUAUGUUUGCAGAGUCAACAUUUUUUCUCAGGACCUUCCAAGCAUGUUUUCACUUUGUAUUUGGAGAAAUGAACAUGUGGAAAACGUGUAUUCCUUAAUGCGCACAUACGGGACUUCUACUUUGACAAUGAAACCGGUGAUGGUCAUUUACACUUUUAUCAUAAAUGUAUACUCAAACAUGACACAUACCACAUGUUAUGUAAUUCUGAUCGUAAUUGCUUCCCAAGUUCUUCCAAGUAUAGAGGUGUCCAGAAAAUAGAAUCAGUAACGGUGUCCGAAGUUAAUUUGCCAGCAUAGGUCAGUAGCAGGUUUGGAGACCCCCUUGAGAGAGAUUUCCCACAAUGUCUCCAAGACAUUGUCAGCAGAAUCUACACAUUUUAGUUGAAGUUGUCCGAUUUCAAAAUCUCUUCAAAGCAUCAGACGUUCACCGUCUCUCAAAUCUUCCAUCGCCCCCACCUGUACCGAUACUGGCCCAGCUCAUGAAACACAUCAGCUUCCAACAACCACCUCACCUCUUCAGCCUGAUUUAGGCAGAGUCACAGUGGAGGAGACAAUGGUUCCACCAAAGGAGUCUACAGUUAUAAACGCACAUAAUACUUCACUUCUCAAGUUUCCACGAUUAUGACCCUAGUUUUUACUUGCAAGCUUUGAUAUCACCAACUAUCUUUUCAAAUUAUUUGCACAAUAAAGUUACAUUCUUUUUUGCUUAUUUGCUACUUUUUGUCAACUUGGUAAUGUUAUGCGACGACGUCCUCAUGUUGAGUUACGAUCAUGAAAAGCCACAAAAUCCUGGUCUUUGGAUUUUCUA